GUCCAUGAUGCCAGGGACAAAGAAAACACACAGUAGCUUCCAGUAUGAGCAUCUAGGUGAACUCACUAGGUUGGAUGCUCCAAGCGGCAGACGGUGAUCUGUAACAGAGCUGCUAUCUACAUGGGCAACUCUCUUUUUAGUGUGCGCUCUGGUUGAGUUUCAACAUUCUACUCCACGCAUUCUCUCUGUUACCCCAUCUCUCACCUCACUGCCCCCCGUAGCCCUUCUAUUCAUGUCCGUUAUCAACACACCCCCUCCUUUGGUUUGAAUGUAUACCCCAGAAUUCGUGUUGGAAACCGAAUCCCCAAUGUGACAAUGUUAGAAGGUGAGGCCUAAAGGGAGGUGCUGGGUCAAGAGGGAUCAGCCCUCAGGAAUAGGUCAGCACCACUACAAAAAGGGCUUGCAGGUCUGGGCUCACUGUCUCGUGGUCUUUGUCUAUCCACCUUCUGCAAUGUGAUGGUGCAGCUCUAAGGCUCUCACCAGAUGCUAGCCACUUGGCAUUGGACUUCAGCCUGCAGAAGUGUGAGCCAAUAUAUUUCUGUUCUUUAUAAGUUACCAAGUAUGUAGUAUUCUGUUAUAGCACACAAAACAGACCAAGACACUCGUCAAAGCGCUCACCCUCUUCUCUGAGCAUUUCCUUCUUGUUCCUCUGGAAAUCACAGGGUCUGCUAGGGAGGAAAAACAUUUUUCCUUCCUUCGGUCUCUGGCUGGAGCUCUGGAAACUAAACUGACAGAAGACAGAUUAACAAGAAAAUACAGAGUGUAACACAUCAACAUGCAUACACAGGUAGAGAAAGCCUUUCUUCAGGAGGCCAAUACUCAGAGAGAUAAAGAGCCCAAGUACCUUCACCUGAACCUGUACAUCCAUCUAGGCCUGAAGAUCGGUCCCUGGGCUGGACAGGUACAGGCAUCAAUUAAUUCCCUUCUGUGCUGGAACCAGUUUGAUUUGGGUUUCUUCCAUUUCUUAGCGGAACUAAGCACCGUUAGUAGAGCUGGUUGUCCAGGCCGAGACCUGGUACUAUUGGUUCUGCUCCCCUCAAGGAGCCAAGACUGCUUGAAGUCCCCUGGUGUCUUCACCACACCUGAGCGACACCAUGUGCCACACAGAAGAGGGAACCAUGCCUCCCUCACUGUGCUGCACAUUGAGUGUGACUUAUAUGCCAGAACCUCCCUGGUUCCUACAGCUUCCACUGGCAGCCACACUCUCUCCAGGGCUCAGACCAAAUUCUUGAAUCUGAACUGGAGGUAAAUAUGCAAGGCAUGAGCCCUGUUGUCCCCCUCAAUCCAGGAUCUUCA
rnacentral:lncRNA from 13 species